CUUGGGUAUAGUGGUGCAUGCCUGUAAUCCCAGCUAUUUGGGAAGUUGAAGCAGGAAGAUCACUCGGGCCCAGGAGUUCAAGGCUAUAGUGUGCUAUGAUCGCACCUGUGAAUAGCCACUGCACUCCAGCCUGGGCAACAUAGUGAGACCCUGCCUCUU
ensembl:misc_RNA Metazoa_SRP Metazoan signal recognition particle RNA